GGAUUUUUAGCUCAGAUGGCAGAGCAGUUGACUUUUAAUCAUCUGGUCGAGGGGUUCGAAUCCCUCAGAACCCACCA
rnacentral:tRNA from 1 species